GCAUAUCAAUAAGCGGAGGAAAAGAAACCAACAGGGAUUGCCCUAGUAACGGCGAAGUGAAGCGGCAACAGCUCAAAUUUGAAAUCUGGCUUUCGGGCCCGAGUUGUAAUUUGUAGAGGAUGAUUUUGAUGCGGUGCCUUCCGAGUUCCCUGGAACGGGACGCCAUAGAGGGUGAGAGCCCCGUCUGGUUGGAUGCCAAAUCUCUGUAAAUCUCCUUCGACGAGUCGAGUAGUUUGGGAAUGCUGCUCUAAAUGGGAGGUAUAUGUCUUCUAAAGCUAAAUACCGGCCAGAGACCGAUAGCGCACAAGUAGAGUGAUCGAAAGAUGAAAAGCACUUUGAAAAGAGAGUUAAAAAGUACGUGAAAUUGUUGAAAGGGAAGCGUUUAUGACCAGACUUGGGCUUGGUUAAUCAUCUGGGGUUCUCUCCAGUGCACUUUUCCAGUCCAGGCCAGCAUCAGUUUUCGCCGGGGGAUAAAGGCUUCGGGAAUGUGGCUCCCCUCGGGGAGUGUUAUAGCCCGUUGUGUAAUACCCUGGUGGGGACUGAGGUUCGCGCUUCUGCAAGGAUGCUGGCGUAAUGGUCAUCAACGACCCGUCUUGAAACACGGACCAAGGAGUCGUCUUCGUAUGCGAGUGUUCGGGUGUCAAACCCCUACGCGUAAUGAAAGUGAACGCAGGUGAGAGCUUCGGCGCAUCAUCGACCGAUCCUGAUGUUCUCGGAUGGAUUUGAGUAAGAGCAUACGGGGCCGGACCCGAAAGAAGGUGAACUAUGCCUGUGUAGGGUGAAGCCAGAGGAAACUCUGGUGGAGGCUCGCAGCGGUUCUGACGUGCAAAUCGAUCGUCAAACAUGGGCAUGGGGGGCGAAAGACUAAUCGAACCUUCUAGUAGCUGGUUUCCGCGA
rnacentral:rRNA from 1 species